ensembl:lncRNA
AAAAAAUGAGUACUACAGCUGCUCCUGUUUUGUGAUUCAUGCCUGCUAAAGAUCAGGACUGAUUUAUCCAAUUGUAUUAUACUAUAAAGCAUCUUAAUCAUUUGACCACAAGUUACAAAGGGAAAGCCUUGUUCUGUGUCCAAUUUAGUAUUUUUGCGCCUAGCUUUGAAAUGGGCCUAUUAUAAUUACACUAUGGAUUAGGAUCAAAACUUUUUCAUGCCUUGGUAAUUCAAAUCCCAUGUUUAAUUGAUAUUUAUAAAAAAAAAUACCAGUCUGAAAAGGGAAGUAGUUUGGAUUAUGUACAGUUUAUAAUCUGCUCAAAGAAAGCUGAAAAACUCAAUAUGAAGGUGAAGUGAAAGAAACUGUAGCUUCCACGAUCAGCUUCAGAGAUCUGAGUUUGCAAAAUUAGAGGUCAGAUAGAUUUGGCCAACAAAUUUUAAGUUAUAAGUCCAGAUACUUUCCCACUUAAAUACUCUUAGUAUCUUGAGAUAGACAGCAUAUGCUGCCUAUAGCCUGGCUGAAAAACCAGACCUUCUUCUCUUCGUGGCCCUGCCCUUCCUCUCUUCUCCUCUUCUCGGCCCUGCCCUUCUCCUAUUCUCCUCUUCUCAGCCCUGCCCUACACCUCUUCUCGUCUUCUGGGCCACACCCUUCUCCUCUUCCCCUCUUAUCUUCUUCCCCACUUCUGGGCCACGCCCUUCUCCUCUUUUCCUCUGCUCCUCCUCAGCUCUGCUACACUUCUGGGCCCUGCCCUUCUCCUCUUCUCCUCUUCGUGGCCCUGACCUUCCUCUCUUCUCCUCUUUCACUCUUCUCCCCUUCGUGGCCCUGCCCUUCCUCUCUUCUCCAUUUCCGCUCUUGUCCCCUUCGUGGCCCUGCCAUUCCUCUUCUCCACUUCUCCUCUUCUCGGCCCUGCCCUUCCUCUCUUCUCCUCUUCCGCUCUUCUCCCCUUCGCGGCCAUGCCCUUCAUCUCUUCUCAAUUUCCGCUCUUCUCACCUUUGUGGCCCUGCCCUUCCUCUCUUCUCCUCUUCAUGACCCUGCCCAUCCUCUCAUCUCCUCAUCCGCUCUUCUCCUCUUCGUGGCUCUGCCGUUCCUCUUUUCUCCUAUUCCGCUCUUCUCCUCUUCGAGGCCCUGCCCUUCCUCUCUUCUCCUCUUGUCCUCUUCGUGGCCCUGCCCUUCCUCUCUUCUCCUCUUCUCCACUUCGUGGCCCUGCCCUUCUCCUCUUCUCUUCUUAGGCUCUUCUCUUCUGGGCCCUGCCCAUCUCCUCUUCUCCUCUUCCGGGCCCUGCCAUUCUCCUCUUCUCCGCUUCUCGGCCAUGACCUUCCCCCUUCUCCUCUUCUCCUCUACGCAGCACUGCCCUUCUCCGCUUCUCGGCCCUGCUCUUCUCCUCUUCUCCUCAGCGGACCCUGCCCUUCUGCUCUACGGCUUUUCUCCACUUCUCGGCCCUGCCUUUCCUCUCUUCUCCUCUUAUUGCCCCUGCCCGUCCUCUCUUAUCCUCUUCUCCUCUUCUCGGCCCUGCCCAUCUCCUAUUCCCCUCUUCUCCUCUUCUCGGCCCUGCCCUUCUCCUAUUCUCCUCUUCUCGGCCCUGCCCUUCCUCUCUUCGCCUCUUCUCCUCUUCUCGGCCCUGCCCUUCCUCUCUUCUCCUCCUCUUCGUGGCCCUGCCCUUCCUCUCAUCUCCUCAUCCGCUCAUCUCCUCUUGGUGGCUCUGCGCUUUCUCUCUUCCACUCUUCUCCUCUUCAUGGCCCUACCAUUCCCCUCUUCUCCUCUUCCACUCUUCUCAUCUACUUGGCCCUGCACUUCCUCUCUUCUCCUCU